GCCCCUAAGCUGUUUAUGCCACCGGGGCGGGGGGGGUGUUCUGCGCCUCGGCCCCACCCCCCACCCCCCCAGCAGCCGAGCGGGAGCGGGACACUACCUGUUCCUGGGACUCCAGUUCCCUGUGCUGUAGUUUCUUCUCUGCGCACCGCACCUGGUUAGCGCGGGCUUCUAGUUCGUCUUGUAAAGCCUGAAACGGUGGAAGAUAAACACGGAGACGUUAGAAAUGACGCUAGAAAUGAGACCACCGGAAAGGCCUCGGCUCUAGUCCGCCGUUGCUGCUGUUCCGCAGAGCUCGGGCAAACAGAACCAGGCCUUUAGGGGCACGCCCAGGUGUUUUCUGGUUCAGGAAUAGCGAGUCUAACAAAUUCCGAAGGUAAGACAGACACUAGCAGGUGUCAGCUCAGUUAAUAAAAAUGUCUCUGAUACCCCCUGCACAGAGACGCAAGCAUGCAAUGAAGCAUAAAGCUGUGGCUAAUUACAGCAGCUCUGUGGGUCCACCUGCAAGGUGCGCUGCCCUCGGAGAAGUGUGGUGACAGCCUGGGGACUGUAAUGUCGGACCAACACGUCAGUCUUCCAAAUUAUUCUCCUAGUAACCUUAAAGGAAUUUCUUUAUUAAGUCAUGAAGGAUGGUGUGGAAUUUGAGGAACCCGUCAGAAGUUUACAGAGAGGAACUCUCUCCGUUGCCAAGUGGCCACUGGAAAAGAAUUUUGGUUAAUAUGGGGAACUCAGAACCCAUGAGGUCAAUAAUUAUCAUUGCCUCAACUACUAUUUUGAGUGAAGAGGUGAAUUCGAAAAGAUACAAUGCAUUCAAACACCUUGACAUAAUUACGGAUAUGAUAUGCAGAAAGUUACAGUGAGAAGACGACAGGCAUGGUAACUGUAAAGGUGUCAAAUUCUCAAAAUAAAAUUCAAUCAAGACAACAGACUUCCUGCUAGGUGUCAAGAACUGUGAUAGCAUUCUAAAUAGAAGAGUAAAAGAAACCAGACAACAAAAAAAUUCCCUCUUCUCAUGAAGCUUGUAUUACAUUGGGGGGUAGACAAUAAGCAAAUAAGUAUAAUAUUGUCAGUGAUAAGUGUAGAGGAGGAAUUAAGCAGGGCAGGGGGAUAUUCUGGAGUGGGGUCAGUGAAGAUCUUAUAAUUCUAAACAGAUGGCCCAAGAAGACUUGAGCAAAGACCUGAAGGAAGAGAGAGAGCAAGUCAUGGACAUCUGCAGGAAGAACCCUCCAAGCAGGGGACACUGUAUGUGCAAAGGCCCUGAGGUGGCAUGUUCGAGCCAGUGUGGAGAGUGGGCUGCAACCACAUCAGAGACAUCCUAGAUGCCAGGUCCCAUCAGCUACCAGUACAGAGGAUCUUCUCCGCUUCUCUGGUGGCAUCAUGGGGGAGAGUAAUGAUUACUGUCGUGGGAAGAACGUUGGCACGUUUUUUUGUUCCCAGUCUUGCCUGCUCUCCCCUUCCACCCUUAUCCUGCUGUCAGAGUGAUCUUCUUAACCCGAAAUCUAAUUAUGUCAGUCCCCCACUGAAAUGCUUAAACAAUACUCCAGCAUCCCUGAGAUGGCGUUCAAAGUCCUGAGCGUGGCUUUCAGGGACCUCUGUCCUCUGGCUCUGGCCAGGCUGAGCCCCACGAAGCCUCAGUGUCAUGCUGCUGCCAUGGCCAGGAUCAAUAAUGCCAGGAGAUACCACUGACUGCGUGUGUUUUAUUUUUAACCCUCACCGCAUCCCCGGCAGUAGGUGUUGCUUCAUCUAUGCUUGAGAGCACAUAAUUGAGGCUCAGCGAGGUUGAGAAGCCGGCUCAGGUCCCUGUGGCCCGUACUCAGGCACUGGACUGGAAUUUUAAAACACUAACUUCAAAUUCUGUACAUUUUGCUCCUCGUCGUGCUGCCUCUUUCUCCCUCUGUACCUGUUUUCUCUUUUCUCUGCCUGGAAGCUGCCCCACCUGCUCGCUUGAUGGUGUCAAUCCUGAGAACUCAGAAUGGACUCCUCUGGGCUUUUAUCCGUCCAGUGCUUAAGAGAAUCACAGUCCAGGUCUGUGCGGGGCUGAGCGACAGAAGCUCAGGGCUCUCUCCCCUUCAGGUCUGCAAGCCGAGGGCCAGGCCAGCUCCACGCCAGGCACACACUUGACACUCGACUCAUGUUUGUGGAGGGAGCUAAUAAAUAUUUGAACUAUACUCCCUGAGGAAAUGUACUUCAAUCAGCAGAGCUCCCAAACGUCCUUAAUACAGCACGUUAAGCUAAAGGUUAUUAGAUUUCUCAAAAUACAGAAUAUACCACUCUACCUUCCAAAUACCUAUAUGACAUUACUGUUUCUUGUGGCGAUAUGUUGUGUGGUUUCUGCCACAUUAAAAACUACAACACUGCCUGUA